AUUGAGUAUUAGAACUUAAACC
rnacentral:snRNA from 1 species